ensembl:lncRNA
UUGCAAGUAUAUGAUCAGGGAAAGCCUGGUUUUGUCUGCCAAGGAGGAUGAAUUAAUCAAUAUUGGAGAUGUGAGAUUGCAUUGCCUACCAUAAAAGAAAAGAGGACAAAGGCUCAAAGAGGAGGAACAUCAGGAGAGAUGAACAGACAGGAAAGAUGUGUGGCUUCCACUAGGAGCCCAUUUCAAUUUCUUGCCUGCUUAAGAAAAAGGAUAAAGAAUGGCCAGCACCUGAAUUUCUGAAUGAUGUGAGAAGCAGGACCUGAUCCUACCUCUUCCUGCCACAAUGGGAAGCUCAUUUCUGAAGGAUCUGGAAGAAAUUACAGGAGUGACAGUUGUGAGAGGGACGUACUCCAGAUUGGCGGGGCUGGUUUGUGCUUUGUUACCACAUUGCCUCCUCCUAGCAGAAUGGAUGUGCUGGUGGCAUUCCCGGAUUUCUCGAGCUCUCAUGCUAACUCUGAGUCAGCUUUGACCUGGCUGGGUGCCCACCUGCAUAAUUCCAGAUGUGACCAUGGAGAGUGCACAGGGCAAACAACCCUAGGGAAGAAGGUCUUGCUGGCUUGAUGUCUAAAAACAAAAUAAAAAUCAAGUAAAAUUCCUCGAGUCUAAGUCU